UACGUAGGGGGCAAGCGUUGUCCGGAUUUAUUGGGCGUAAAGAGCGUGUAGGCGGCCAGACAGGUCCGUUGUGAAAACUCGAGGCUCAACCUCGAGACGUCGGUUGAAACCACCUGGCUAGAGUCCGGAAGAGGAGAGUGGAAUUCCCGGUGUAGCGGUGAAAUGCGCAGAUAUCGGGAAGAACACCCGUGGCGAAGGCGGCUCUCUGGGACGGUACUGACGCUGAGACGCGAAAGCGUGGGGAGCGAACAGG
rnacentral:rRNA from 1 species